rnacentral:rRNA from 1 species
AACGAACGCUGGCGGCAGGCUUAACACAUGCAAGUCGAACGCAUCCUUCGGGGUGAGUGGCAGACGGGUGAGUAACGCGUGGGAACGUGCCCUUCAGUUCGGGAUAACCCAGGGAAACUUGGGCUAAUACCGGAUACGUGCGAGAGCAGAAAGAUUUAUCGCUGAAGGAUCGGCCCGCGUCUGAUUGGGUAGUUGGUGAGGUAAUGGCUCACCAAGGCGACGAUCAGUAGCUGGUCUGGGAGGAUGAUCAGCCACAUUGGGACUGAGACACGGCCCAAACUCCUACGGGGGGCAGCAGUGGGGAAUAUUGGACAAUGGGCGCAAGCCUGAUCCAGCCAUGCCGCGUGAGUGAUGAAGGCCUUAGGGUUGUAAAGCUCUUUCGUCCGGGACGAUAAUGACGGUACCGGAAGAAGAAGCCCCGGCUAACUUCGUGCCAGCCGCCGCAGUAAGAC